rnacentral:ncRNA from 1 species
GUCGGGAGGGGACUCAAUGCAACACCCCGCAAAGGGAAAUACGUCCACCGUUGACUGUUGGCGGCCUUUCAACCUCCCGACAACCUUGC